rnacentral:lncRNA from 1 species
GGGGUGAAAACUUCCCGCAUUCCAGAAGUUCGAUGGCAUUGAGAAGGUGAAUCACAGUAGCUAACUCAACGCAAGGAGUGCAAACACUUCAAGUGCUUCAGAAGUGUGAGCAAAGAGCAGGCGAAGUCCAGUAACCAGCUCGAUGCAUAAAGUACAACCUCGAGGAGGCGGGCGAAGUCAAGUAACCUUUGCCUUCUCAACUCUCAAGAGAAUGGGCGAAACCGAGUACCCCAAUUCUCUUAUCUAUCCAGCAGAGGAGCUCUGCAUACGUUCAAAGACCCUUCGAAGAUAAUGGAAGACAAUAGUUGUCAAAUCCUUACCAACGUUGAUCAGUGUUACUGAGAGUAGAUUGUCCGCUUCAUUUCCCAAUAAAAUGCCAAUCGAAAGCGGAAGUGAUGCGAACCUACUUGGAUGUGACAACUAAGCGAAAGAAGAGUCAAUGAGCAAAUGUUGUGGAGGAAGGACCCAAAACUUCAGAAGUUUGCGAGACGAUGCUCGUUAAAGCUCCAACAAGCAUCCACCCAGUUCAAGCAGCAUGAGGAAUUUGAGAAACUGGCGCAGUAAGGAUGGUCUUUUCCUUCAUCUGGGGGAUCCGCAGGAAUAAAAAAUGAUCAACACAACUCAGCCAACCCCACACCAGAGUCAGAGUCAUUGGUGAGUUGAAGCAGCAUGGCGGAUCAAAGGUUCGACUACUCAAAAACAGCAGCGGAGAGCAGCUAGGAGCCAAAAGGCGCAUUGUAGCUGGAGCAGAAGAUUGAAGACUCAUCAAAGGCGAGGAGUUGCAGUGUCGACAAAGGCUUCAACAAGGACGUCGAAGGAAUAAGUGGGGGAGAAUGUCACGGACAAACUUCGAAACAGGAUGUUUGAUGUAAUGCGAGGAGUUGCAGUGUCGACAAAGGCUUCAACGAGGACGUCGAAGGAAUAAGUGGGGGGAGAANNNNNNNNNNNNNNNNNNNNCACGGACAAACUUCGAAACAGGAUGUUUGAUGUAAUGCUUAUACAUGUCCGUGUCUUUUGGCAUGUUCAUACCUUGUACAGCAUGUAGAGGGGCGGCCGAAGGCUUAAUAGUCCCAUUUUAGUUGGGUUAGUGGCCUCUUUAGGCUUGUAAAUAAAGGUUGUGUCAUGUGGACACGUGCGAGAGAUUUUCGGUCUGUAAUGGACUAUUUUACCCUUUGUUGUGCCACUGUUCAGAGCUUGUAAUGUCUGUUUGUAAUUUGCAUUGUCUAUAAAGUGUUUUUCGGAGAUGUUUGCUUGUGGAUCCCGAUUGAGGCGUUCUCUCUAACCCGUUCUCUCUUUUGGUUGUCCUAAGGGACAAUGGGAGGCUUCGGGGAGGCUGACCUUUGCGGACGGACACGCAAGGGUGCCGCACGACUUAGGCAAAACCAGCUAAGUCCGUGACAAUAUGGAGGCUGUGUUCCAUCGAGGGAAAAGUUCGAAUGCAAGUACCAGUGAGUCCCAUGGGUGGGACUUGAUCAUGCAGAGGUAUGAUCGAAGCAGCUGGAGAGUUGGACUGCUCUAGAGCCCAUAUUCUCUUAAGGGAGCCCGGCAAGUCAGAGGACAAUGUCGAGUUAGCGAACGUUGCUACCAAGGAAGCUAAGGAGAACAGAAUCGGCGCAAACCCUACAACGUAAUGGCAGAGGCUAUGCAUGGGAGUUGCAAUAUGUCUUUUCAUCGACCAAAGGGAACUACUUGAAGAACACAAAAGUGUUGAAGUAGAGGGUCGAAAGGGGCGAGGAAACGACGACAAGUCCAAAAGGACUUAGCUACCCAAAAUCAAGCAUCAGUUAGAAUGGAGGUGGACUCGGAGGAGUGCCACAGAGACAUAUCUACUGAUCAUGAAGAAAAGGGAUGCAGAUGUGAGGCAACGGAUAGUAGGGCCAUUAGCAUGACAGCGCCAUGGUAACGCAGAGACGGGACUUCCGUGAAAGUCAUUGAUCCCUUGCUCUCAUAGAGGGAGAGCGCUUGGUCGUGAAACGGGCCGAGGAGAUGGAGCAUACAGAGGCAAACUCAAAGUACCGAGACAAAGCUAAAGGGCAAAGGCCAGGGAACUUCGUAAGACCGGUGUCAACGAGCUUCUCAUCAAGAUAGCCGCAAGUGAAGGACUUCGGGUCAUGCAAGAGUGCACGACCAAGGAACGAAGCAGGCAAUACGCGGUGCUGUACCUUUGCUACUCAGUGGAUUAGGCGGCAGGGUUGAUGUUGAAGACGGUACAAUCCCAGAGGCGACCAAAUCUAUUAGAGAAUUACUCCAAGUUGGGGUGAAAACUUCCGGCAUUCCAGAAGUUCGAUGGCAUUGAGAAGGUGAAUCACAGUAGCUAACUUAAUGCAAGGAGUGCAAACACUUCGAGUGCUUCAGAAGUGUGAGUAAAGAGCAUGCGAAGGUCAGUAACAAGCUCGAUGCAUGGAGUACAACCCUUGAGGAGGCGAGCGAAGUUAAGUAACCAUUGUCUUCUCAACCCUUAAGAGAAUGGGCGAAAUCGAGUACCCCAAUUCUCUUAUCUAUCCAGUAGAGGAGCUCUACACAGGUUCAAAGACCCUUCGAAGAUAUUAGAAGACAAUAGUUGUCAAAUCGUCACCAAUGGUGAUCAGUGCUACUAAGAGUAGAUUAUUCGCUUCAUUUCCCAACAAAAUAACAAUCGAAAGCGGAAGUGAU